GUUACAGGUUAGCCAUUAGGGUAAGUUCGUGGGGUUUACGAUACUCAUAGGGGGUUUACAGUAUACCAGUAGGGGGUUACAGUAUACCAUUAGGGGGUUACAGUAUACCAGUAGGGGGUUACAGUAUACCAUUAGGGGGUUACAGUAUACCAGUAGGGGGUUACAGUAUACCAGUAGGGGGUUACAGUAUACCAGUAGGGGGUUAUAGUAUACCGUAGGGGUUACAGUAUACAGUGGGGGUUAAGUAUACAGUAGGGGGUGUACAGUAUACCCGUA
rnacentral:lncRNA from 1 species